UACGUAGGGGGCUAGCGUUGUCCGGAAUCAUUGGGCGUAAAGAGCUCGUAGGCGGUCUGUCGCGUCGGUCGUGAAAACUUGGGGCUUAACCCUGAGCUCGCGGUCGAUACGGGCAUGACUGGAGUUCGGCAGGGGAGACUGGAAUUCCUGGUGUAGCGGUGAAAUGCGCAGAUAUCAGGAGGAACACCGGUGGCGAAGGCGGGUCUCUGGGCCGAUACUGACGCUGAGGAGCGAAAGCGUGGGGAGCGAACAGG
rnacentral:rRNA from 1 species